UCAAGCUAAUAAGAGCGCAAGGGGAAUGCCUUGGCAUCAGGAGCCGACGAAGGACGUGACAAGCUGCGAUAAGCUACGGUAAGGAGCAAAUAUCCUGUGACCCGUAGAUUUCCGAAUGGGGCAACCCGGCUGGACAAUAUCCAGUCAUCCUGCAUUGAAUCAAAUAGGUGUAGGAAGGGAACCGCCUGAACUGAAACAUCUAAGUAGGGCGAGGAAAAGACAUCAACCGAGAUUCCGCAAGUAGUGGCGAGCGAACGCGGAAGAGGCCAAACCGGAGGAUUUAUUCUCCGGGGUUGCGGACAGCUAUACGGAACAAUAGUUUAGCCGAACGGUCUGGGAAGGCCGGUCACAGAGGGUGAGAACCCCGUAGGCGAAAGACGAAUUGUUUCAGGCUGGAUCCAGAGUACCGCAGGACACGUGAAACCCUGUGGGAAACAGGGGGGACCACCCUCCAAGCCUAAAUACUACCUGAUGACCGAUAGAGGAGCAGUACCGUGAGGGAAAGGUGAAAAGGACCCCGGGAGGGGAGUGAAAGAGAACCUGAAACCUUGUGCUUACAAGCAGUCAGAGCACGUUAACGUGUGAUGGCGUACUUUUUGUAGAACGGUCCGGCGAGUUAUAGUAACGAGCAAGCUUAAGGUAUUCAGUACCGGAGGCGAAGCGAAAGCGAGUCUGAAUAGGGCGUAUGAAGUUCGUUGCCAUAGACCCGAAACCGGGUGACCUACGCAUGAGCAGGUUGAAGUGGGGGUGAAACCCCAUGGAGGACCGAACCAACCCCCGUUGCAAUGGUGGUGGAUGACUUGUGCGUAGCGGUGAAAUUCCAAUCGAACUCGGAGAUAGCUGGUUCUCCCCGAAAUAGCUUUAGGGCUAGCGUUAGUUUAGAUUACCGGAGGUAAAGCACUGAAUGGUUUAGGGGCUGAUAAAGUUACCGACGCCUAUCAAACUCUGAAUGCCGGAUAAUUGAUGACUAGCAGUCAGACAGUGUGAGAUAAGUUUCAUUGUCAAAAGGGAAACAGCCCAGACCUACAGCUAAGGUCCCAAAUGUAUGCUAAGUGGAAAACGAUGUGGAAUUGCGAAAACAACCAGGAUGUUGGCUUAGAAGCAGCCACACAUUAAAAGAGUGCGUAAUAGCUCACUGGUCGAGUGACUCUGCGCGGAAAAUGUAACGGGGCUAAGCAUGCAACCGAAGCUUAGGAUUGUCUAAAGACAGUGGUAGGGGAGCGUUCUGUAUGGGGUGAAGUCGCAGCGAGAGCAGCGGUGGACUGUACAGAAGUGAGAAUGCCGGAAUGAGUAGCGAGAAUUAUGUGGGAAUCAUAAUGGCCGAAAAUCUAAGGUUUCUUGGGGAAGGUUCGUCCGCCCAAGGUAAGUCGGGAGCUAAGCUCAGGCCGCGAGGCGUAGGCGAUGCACAUACGGUAGAAAUUCCGUAACCACCGAACUUUAAGCAUGAGGGACACUUUGAGAUAGCGGAACCCGGGCGUUGGUUGACCCGGGCGAAAGGGACCGAAAUAUAGUAGGGAAGUCCGCGAUGCUCGGAGGCGAGAAAAGCUCAUGUGUAUACUAAGGUGCCCGUACCGCAAACCGACACAGGUAGAUGAGGAGAGAAUCCUAAGGCCAACGGGAGAAGGGUUGUUAAGGAACUCGGCAAGAUGACCCCGUAACUUCGGAAGAAGGGGAGCCUCGAAAGAGGCCGCAGUGAAUAGGCCCAAGCAACUGUUUACCAAAAACACAGGUUUAUGCUAAAUCGAAAGAUGACGUAUAUGAGCUGACGCCUGCCCGGUGCCGGAAGGUUAAGAGGAGAUGUCAACCGCAAGGUGAAGCAUUGAAUUGAAGCCCCGGUAAACGGCGGCCGUAACUAUAACGGUCCUAAGGUAGCGAAAUUCCUUGUCAGGU
rnacentral:rRNA from 1 species